GUAGAAGCGGGCGCAGCGCUGGCGCGGCGGCAGUAGAGCAGCGAUGGGAUGGCGAGGGCUGUGGUGGCGGCGAUGGCAGUAGCCAGAGAAGAGUCGGUGCACGCGGAAUCCUCCCAGUUGUGAAUUAAAAUUUGCCAAGGAUGACAGGCUGAUCUAAAGUACCAUGGCAAGAGGAAGUAAACGGAAGCCACUACCUGCUGGAAGUGUCUGUGCUCUGCAUGGGGAAAUACAAAGAAAUGAGAAGACAGGAAAAUCUUAACUGCUCGCUCUGGAUCCUACGGCUGCAGCUGCCAGGGGGGUUUGUGACGUUUACAUAAAAAUAAAGAAUCAAGGCUGGCCGAUGGAGGUCUGAUCACAUCUGAGCUCUGCCCCGCCUGCACCCCAGAAAGAAAAUGAGGAAGACUGGCCAGGAGCAGUGUGGGGGCCUCCCCUGCAAGCUGAGGAGUUUGCAGACAGGACUCAACUGCAUCAGGCUAAGCCGUGGAGGGAGCAUGCCGCGGCCAUCCCCCUUGCUCGUCUCCUACCUACCUGCCUGGCUCUUUUUGCACUGAGAAGACAAGCAGGGGAAACACCAGCAUAGAAGGGUCUAAACAGGCUAUGCAGAUGAGGGGAGAGAAAGAGACAGAACUGAUUAUCCAGUCUCAGUCUGGUGACUUUAAGAUUAAAAAUGGGGGGAUGUCAAUAUGUCCCAAAUCAAAAUCAUGGACAUUUUUCUUUUGUGAUUAAAAACACUUCUCAUUAUUUUUCGCUAGCUGGAUGGAGCCGGUUGUCACCUAAUACAAAACAUCAGGGAAAGGGCUUCAGUUUCCUCUAAUUCUAAGAUGGCUGUAGGCACUAGACAGACCUUCACUCCCGUAAUGCAGCAGCUGCCUGGAUGACCCGUCCCCUGUACACCUGCCCACAGGGACCAGCCUGCUUCUUGGUCUCUACCCCCCCUCUGCGGCAGACUUCAAAUGGCUACCACAGAGAAGGCCCGAGACUUCCACGUCUUGUUCAUGCGAGAGUGGUGGAGGGGAGAGCCUAUCAGAAUGGGGAACUGAGGCUUGGUGGAAAAGGACUAAGUUCCUAGCAGAGAACUCUAUGGCCCCUACCUAGGAAGUCCACACGGCCCCCCUCAAGCUGUUGAGGAGCAGGCAGAGUAGCGGGAUCAAGGACAGAAGAUGGCCCCCAAAAUGUCUUUUCUAUGCUACCUGCCAUUUUGGGAAGGGCACAUCAAAGAAGAGGGAAACUGGAACCCAGGGGAUAAAGAGAUGUGCCCAGAGUCUCAGAACUGACAGAACAAGGACACAGCACGGUGGAUCUAGAGGUUAAAGCUACACGCUUGGAAGGCUUCCUCGUAGUCAAACCUUCCCGGCCUGGAUAAAGUCUACAGAAGUACCAAAGGUCAUCUGGGGGUCACUCUCUGAGAUUUGUGGAAAUUGCUUGUACCUAAGAAUGCAGGCCAUCAAAAUUAGUGUGCACAUUGCUGACUGACUGUCACCCAGGGGACAGCUUUUCCUCAGAAGAUUUCUGGGUGUGCAAGUUACAUCAUGGGUAACUUCUGGCUUCCCCAGAAUAUGGUACGGAUGCUAUGUGGACAGCAGCUCUCAACUAUUGGUGAGAUUUGGUAGUGAUUAGGAUAAGUGUUGUCAUUGUGUGUGUGU